rnacentral:rRNA from 1 species
GACGAACGCUGGCGGCGUGCUUAACACAUGCAAGUCGAACGGAAAGGCCCUGCUUGCCGGGUGCUCGAGUGGCGAACGGGUGAGUAACACGUGGGUGAUCUGCCCCUUACUUUGGGAUAAGCCUGGUAAACUGGGUCUAAUACUGGCUAGGACCAUGCUGUAGGUGGUGUGGUGAAAGAUUAGUUUCGGUAAGGGUUGCGCUCGCGGCCUAUCAGCUUGUUGGUGGGGUAAUGGCCUACCAAGGCGUCUACGGGUAGCCGGCCUGAGAGGGUGGACGGCCAGGUCGGGACUGCGACACGGGCCAGACGCAUGCGGGAGGCAGCAGUGGGGAAUAGUGUAAAAUGGGAGCAAGCCUGAUGUAGCGACGGCGCGUGGGGGAUGACGGUCUUCGGGUUGUAAAGUACUAACAGCCAUGAAGAAGCGCUUGUGGUGACGGUAGUGGUAGAAGAAGCACCGGCUAACUACGUG